CGUGGGGGUGGGUCAACCAUUGGUCAGAGGCACUGUGACCUAACCCGCGUGCCGCAGCCGCCUCCUCUCCUCCUCGAUUCUUCUGCUGCCGCAGCCACCCCCCUCUCCUCUCCCCCAAUUCUCCCACCACCGCCGCCGCCUCUCGUCUCAUCCAUGUAGCCAGGGCCUAGACGUCAUCGGCUCAGUCCGCGGCGGUAUGGAUGAGGAGGCGAGAGCUUCAGAGGCAGGGGCGAGGAAGCAGAGAGUCCUUCCCGAGGGCGCCCCAACCUGCCAGAUCUUCCAACUCAUCGGCCCAGGCAAGAUGGAGCAGGACGGGGUGACGAUUCCUGGCGGCGUUCGCGUGCUUUGGCUAGCGGCCUGCACUUCCUUCUUCCCCUGGUGAGUUGUCCUUGAUCUGAAAAAAUAUUUACUUCCCACUGAUUUGUUGCUUGUCGGCGGGAGCCUGGGGCGCCGCCAUGGCCAAUAGGAGAAGCACGGGUGACCGCUGCAGCUGAGCUUACAUGUAAGAUAGCCCCGAGCCCCCGACACAUCCUCUGCCACACCAACCUUGCAGCAUCUGGCCUUUGCAGAUUCAUUUAGGUAUCCACCUACCUACAAGUUGUUUGAUGAAAAUCCAAACUGCUGCAGGGGCAGAUUAAUAUAUGUGUAAUAAUAUAUGCUUGAUGACCUGCUCAAAUUUGUACUGACAUUUACGUCCAGUCCUUGAUUAGUUCUUUUGCAAAGCAGGUUCAACUGUUGAAAGCUAUGGAUUUACUGCUUGGCCAUCAUGUUUGAGCUGAUAUUCUGCUUUCUUUCUUUCUAGAGAUAUUCAAGAAAGAAGAUAGUGCGACAAGGCUAAAGGGCUACUAUGGUAAAAAUCUUUCUUUAUUUUGUUGUGACCUGUCUUAUUUGGUUCUAUUGUGCAUAAAGAAUACUUGGUUUUAUCAACUCCCAGCUUGAUAGUUAACUGCUUCCAUCUAUCAACUCCCAGCUUGACAGUUAGAUGUUUCCAUCUUUAUAUUCUAAUUUGAUGUUUUUUGAUUCAUGGUAUAUGGAGGAUGCAGAAAAUGAUGGAGCGCAUGAUGCUUCAGCAGAUUCUGCAUUAUUGUCAAACGCCUUUCCUGAGGUGUUAUUUGUUUACACCUGAGGAUGAAAAUAAAGUUGUAUGUCCCACUAAUUAGAUCAACUGCUCAGGGAAAAAAAGAGAUGUGCCUUCUUUGCAUUAGCUCCACCAUGGUUCUGCCAUAUGUCUAAUUACGAUGCACCCUUUUCAGACCAUUUCCACCGCACAUGUGUGUUCGUGCUCAUUUUUUGUUCUCUGACUUUUUGAUCAUGCCUAUGAAUGCCCAUCGUAUAUAUUUGUUCACUGUCUUUUGAUCACAGUUGUGUAUACACUCAUGCCUACUGUAUUCCCUGCAUUUUUCCUCUACUAUGCAAACUUCUUACCCUUGGACUACUAAUUAAAUCAAGCUUGCCACUUUGUACAGUGUGAUUAUUUCAUGUAUUUUUGGUAUGUGUUAGCUAUGACUUGACUGGCUCCAGUCUGGUAGAGAACACAACUAAUUUGCAUUUCCUGGAAUAAAAUUACUAUUUGUGAUUUUGGUAUGGGCUAGCUUUGAUUUGGAUGAUUUCAAGUCAGGAACAUGAGUGGGCUAAUGUAUUAUGCAUGACCAUGGGAAGACGGUAUUUUCUAUGGUAGAAUUAGUGUGGUGGUAUAAAAUUAUAAGUUCACUUCAUGGUCGGUAGGUUCACCGCUGCAUUUUGUUUGUCGAUGCCUUGACUUUUAGGCUGUCACAGGUAGUCGCGCGUCGCCGCGGGCGAGUCUCUGAUCGCCUUGCUCUGUUUCACUGUUUCAAUAUUUCCAACUUAUUACAUGAAUGGAUCUAAAAUAACAAACUUUCAACAUCCUAUGCUUUUUCUACGAGUUGAUGGUUUUUACUUAACCAUAAAUGCUUCCAUGAUAUGCUGGCACAUUCUCUCACUUCAUUCCUGGAUUUUGCUGACAAGGAUUGGAAAUUUCUAUUACCCCCGAGAACUAAAAAUUAUCGACCACUCGAUUACAUGGUGUUGAAUUAUUUGAACGCUACCAAUGUCUAUAUAGAAAAAUAAGGAAACUUUUUUUAACUCUAUUGAGCAAUGAGUACACUCUACAAGGUUAGCCUUGCUGCCAUUGGUAUUAAAGUACUAGCAAUUAUCUUUAGCUAUUCUUCUUUCAUCUAUAUCCUGAAGGAGACCCGAUGGCAUGGCUGUACAAGUGGCACCCACUCUACAAGGUUAGCCUUGCUGCCAUUGGUAUUAAAGUACUAGCAAUUAUCUUUAGCUAUUCUUCUUUCAUCUAUAUCCUGAAGGAGACCCGAUGGCAUGGCUGUACAAGUGGCACCCCUGGUCAGGUGGACGUUGGAUGCUUUCUUCAGUGUUUCUCUUUUCCCGCAGGCUUGAUUUCCUUGUGGUCGUAACCCAACUCCCAAAAGUCAACGCUUUCUUGGAGUCCUAAUCCAUCUACUUGUCCCCCUCUCUGUUCUUUCUAUUGUAACGCGAUCUUUCUUGGAGUCCUAAUCCAUCUACUUGCUCCCCUCUCUGAAGAUAUCAUGCUAUGGGACUUUUCGGCAGAACCUAAACUAUGGUUUUACUUGCAGCUCAGUUUUCACAUCCUUCCCAGGUUUCACAAAAACAUAAACAUGCUUGGAUGUGUGUCCUUGCCGGCGACCUCGCUGUCUCCAACCCAUCCGUCUGGACAGGUAGCUUGCUAUCCUCUCAUCGUGUCUAUUGGUGCAGUAUCUCAUAUCCUCUCUCGAAGAGAUGAGAUAAGGAUUAAAGGACUACCAACUGAGUUCUACAGCUCACCUCACCAAUAAUGGAAGACAUCCUCACCUCACCUAUAAUGGAAGACAUCCCGAGUCAUUGUUUUGCAUGCUAGAUAACAACAACUAUCACGUUGGUGAUUUCCCUGAUAUCUGGUUCUACAAGUGUGUCAUAUGGACCAAUGAAAGAAAAGAUAUUUCGGAGAUAAUAACUAUAUGGGCUACUCCAAAUGGUCUGACAGUGGAACCAACUUUUAUAGGCCCUCAAGUACCUGUGGAAGUCUACCAUGCAAGCAUUAUCCGACGAUGACACUGCUUUUUCGUACAUAUCAUCUUAAGACCAUGGUCAGACUAAGAAGAUGCCUAAAUAAGCCAUGAGGCUGCCUAUAUAUAAGUGUUUUUCUAUAAACUGAUCUAAGUCAUUCUACUAUCUGUAAACCAAUUUAAGUUAUUCUACUAUUUGUAAACCCAUCUAAGUCAUUGUAUUACCUGCAAUACAAUCCACAUUGCAUUAUCUUUCA